UUUUCCUCUCUUGUUUUGAGAAGUAAGACUCUCAAUGUUGAAAUACAAGUAAAAUAUUUCCAGGAGCACACGGUUUCUCAGUCUGAAGAUGGAAGUAGAAUGAUGGUAGCUUUUGGUGGGGUUUAUCCCAGGAUUGGCUACACACAUUGUCUUUGGUUUGAGAUCUGAGUACAAAUGACUUGGGCUAUGAGAUCAUUUGAUGAAAGGGCCUAUAUAGCACAAAGGUAGGACUCCACCACCUUUAAUGCACUGGUGCUCACUGAGGAGGUAGAGGACCUGCAUUUCCCAAAUGAGAGUUGUGGAAGGCACAGUGCUUCAUGGACAUCCAUGGGUUCUCAGGCAUGCCUUACGCAUGUGGGAAUUACUGCCAGCGCUUAUCCCUCUGAAGGAUAUGUAGCUUGCCCUUUCUUGGAAAAGGGCAGGUUUCCAGUUCUGUCUCCUUCCCACUCCUCUUUGGGUUGACUGGUUUCACUGAAUUGUCAUAUCUGGAGAAAAAUGUGAUCUACAUGUGUGAACAGAUGAUAAAAGAUUUCUUCCUUCCUUUUAUUUUACUUGAUGUAGCUGGAAAGCAAAAAAUAUAUAUUAUGCUGAAAAAUUAAAUGAUUCUAAGGAUUGAUCUUUACAUUUAGAACUUUUCUUUAAGGAAUAGAUUAUAAACUGCUAUAGCCUAAUAAGAUAUUUUCAAGUGAAGUAAAUGCCAGAGACUAAAUUGUCCCCUCCCCUGGAAAUGUUGCGGGGUAAAAACAGGCAGAAGGCAGGUCUGGGCCAAGCUGUAUAUACACAUUAAUACACACAAACCAUAUACAGAGUUUGACCACAUUAAUUGAAAAUAUUGCAGACAUAUCAAAAACAUGUAGAUAAAUGGUGAUCAACUAGGUAUGUGAUUUAUUCGGGGGGCACUGGUUAAAAGGGAAUUUUGGUAAAGUGGAUGAGUGG